rnacentral:tRNA from 1 species
GCGGCCGUGGUCUAGCCUGGUCUAGGACAGUGGCCUCCCGAGCCACUUACCCGGGUUCAAAUCCCGGCGGCCGCA